rnacentral:rRNA from 1 species
CUACGUGCCAGCAGCCGCGGUAAUACGUAUGUCACAAGCGUUAUCCGGAUUUAUUGGGCGUAAAGCGCGUCUAGGUGGUUAUAUAAGUCUGAUGUGAAAAUGCAGGGCUCAACUCUGUAUUGCGUUGGAAACUGUGUAACUAGAGUACUGGAGAGGUAAGCGGAACUACAAGUGUAGAGGUGAAAUUCGUAGAUAUUUGUAGGAAUGCCGAUGGGGAAGCCAGCUUACUGGACAGAUACUGACGCUGAAGCGCGAAAGCUAGGGGAGCAAACAGGAUUAGAUACCCUGGUAGUCCUAGCUGUAAACGAUGAUUACUGGGUGUGGGCAUGAAGAGUGUCCGUGCCGAAGCAAAUGCGAUAAGUAAUCCGCCUGGGGAGUACGGCCGCAAGGCUGAAACUCAAAGGAAUUGACGGGGACCCGCACAAGCGGUGGAGCAUGUGGUUUAAUUCGACGCAACGCGAGGAACCUUACCAGAUCUUGACAUCCUG